UGAGCGCAGGUUGCAGCUGCCUGGCCAGCCCGAGAGACAGCGGAGAUUCAUUACCCGCCGACACAAUGACCAUUGAUGGCCCCGUGGCGUUAUUCAAAUCCAGUACCAAUUGCAGCCGAGCCCCUUUCUCCGCGCCAGGCCCGUAUUGUUGGAGCGGCCCACUAAAAGCCCGCCCCGGCCCCGAGCCGCCAGAGGCGCCCGCUCGGGUUCAGCCCUGCGCCUCUCCAGCCCGCCGGCUCCCAGUCCGGCUCCCCGGGCGCUGCAGGUGACCCGGCGGCGCAUUCCAGCACUCCCCGCCGCCCGGGCCACCGCCGCCACAGCCACCGCCGGCGCCCCGGCCGCGACUCAGCCACAGGAAAGCGGAGAGCGCCCGAGCCGCCCCUCAGGACGGACUGGUGGGCUGAGCCUCCUCCAGCCGCUGCCAGGGUCCGACAGCCAAGCGUCGCCAACGAUGCGCUCCAGCCGGGCAAUCACCUCGGCUUUGGAAACAGAACUUGGAAAAACGAAUCCUUUUCAUUAAAGAAAAAUCUUCCGAGAUA